rnacentral:rRNA from 2 species
AUCACCAAGUGGUGGAUCGCUCGAAUUACCAAUCGAUGAAGAACAUAGUUAGCUACUAUAAUCGGUGCAAAUUGCAGCACACACUGAGCUCUUGAGCUUCCAACGUACAUUGCGAUUUUCGGGUCUUUCCGAGAUCAUGCUUUUAUAACAAUAA